rnacentral:sRNA from 1 species
AUAUUUGAAGCGUUGUGUUGUGGCUAGUUGUUUUAGUCCUCCGCUGUCUGUUUUUCUUCUUUUCCU